UGAUCAGUGCUGAGGAUAUACAGUGAAGUGCAGAAUCUCUCUGCAGAAGGAGAGCAAGUGAGUGGUGAUGAAUCGGGUCCCAGCUGGCAGAAAGGGAGGCUGACACACACCACCAAAACACAACAGACAGCCAGGCCACCGAGGAGAGGUGUUGUCCGGUCACAUGAAGCUACUGUGCGGAUUUUAUUGCAUUUUAUUCAG